UACAGAGGUGGCAAGCGUUGUUCGGAAUUACUGGGCGUAAAGGGCGCGUAGGCGGCCUUCUAAGUCAGACGUGAAAUCCCCCGGCUUAACCUGGGAACUGCGUCUGAUACUGGGAGGCUCGAGUAUGGGAGAGGGAUGUAGAAUUCCAGGUGUAGCGGUGAAAUGCGUAGAUAUGCGGAGGAACACCGAUGGCGAAGGCAAUCCCCUGGGCCUGCACUGACGCUCAUGCACGAAAGCGUGAGGAGCAAACAGG
rnacentral:rRNA from 1 species